AACGAACGCUGGCGGCAGGCUUAACACAUGCAAGUCGGGCGCCCCGCAAGGGGAGCGGCAGACGGGUGAGUAACGCGUGGGAAUCUACCCAUCUCUACGGAAUAACGCAUGGAAACGUGUGCUAAUACCGUAUACGUCCUUCGGGAGAAAGAUUUAUCGGAGAUGGAUGAGCCCGCGUUGGAUUAGCUAGUUGGUGGGGUAAAGGCCUACCAAGGCGACGAUCCAUAGCUGGUCUGAGAGGAUGAUCAGCCACACUGGGACUGAGACACGGCCCAGACUCCUACGGGUGGCAGCAGUGGGGAAUAUUGGACAAUAGGCGCAAGCCUGAUCCAGCCAUGCCGCGUGAGUGAUGAAGGCCCUAGGGUUGUAAAGCUCUUUCACCGGUGAAGAUAAUGACGGUAACCGGAGAAGAAGCCCCGGCUAACUUCGUGCCAGCCGCCGCCGUAACAC
rnacentral:rRNA from 1 species